CAGUUAUAGUUACAACAGAUUCUGAUAUCUGUUGUUAUGAAAAAAAUGUUAAGACAAAGGUAUAGUUACAAUAUAAAUUCCUUCAAUAUCAUGCAGGAGUGCUUUCUUGACUCACUUUAAAUAAAUAAAAAUACAUUUAAAAUCACCUUAAGCUCCACCCAACAGCCGCUGGAAAAUAUGCUUAAACAAAUAAAAUUCACAUUGUUAAGCAUCCAAUCUCACGAAUGUGAC